rnacentral:rRNA from 1 species
UACGGGGGGAGCAAGCGUUGUUCGGAUUUACUGGGCGUAAAGGGCGCGUAGGCGGCCACCGCAAGUCAAUUGUGAAAUCUCCGGGCUUAACUCGGAAAGGUCAACUGAUACUGCGGGGCUAGAGUGCGGAAGGGGCAACUGGAAUUCUCGGUGUAGCGGUGAAAUGCGUAGAUAUCGAGAGGAACACCUGCGGCGAAGGCGAGUUGCUGGGCCGACACUGACGCUGAUGCGCGAAAGCGUGGGGAGCAAACAGG